CUCGGAAGGAUCAUUACCGAGUGAGGGCCCUCUGGGUCCAACCUCCCACCCGUGUUUAUUUACCUUGUUGCUUCGGCGGGCCCGCCUUAACUGGCCGCCGGGGGGCUCACGCCCCCGGGCCCGCGCCCGCCGAAGACACCCUCGAACUCUGUCUGAAGAUUGUAGUCUGAGUAUAAAUAUAAAUUAUUUAAAACUUUCAACAACGGAUCUCUUGGUUCCGGCAUCGAUGAAGAACGCAGCGAAAUGCGAUACGUAAUGUGAAUUGCAAAUUCAGUGAAUCAUCGAGUCUUUGAACGCACAUUGCGCCCCCUGGUAUUCCGGGGGGCAUGCCUGUCCGAGCGUCAUUUCUGCCCUCAAGCACGGCUUGUGUGUUGGGCCCCGUCCUCCGAUUCCGGGGGACGGGCCCGAAAGGCAGCGGCGGCACCGAGUCCGGUCCUCGAGCGUAUGGGGCUUUGUCACCCGCUCUGUAGGCCCGGCCGGCGCUUGCCGAUCAACCCAAAUUUUUAUCCAGGUUGACCUCGGAUCAGGUAGGGAUACCCGCUGAACUUAA
rnacentral:rRNA from 1 species